rnacentral:lncRNA from 1 species
ACUAAAUCCAUGGUAGUAACUCUACAUGUAAUCAGUCUGUUCAUUGUUGCAAUUAUCUUGCAGAAGAAAAUAGGCUAAAUAAAAUCUGUUUGAAAAUAAAGUGUUGGGCUUGUUGUUGCUAAAGUUCACCCAAAAUGAAUUAGGAAACUGUCUUGACAAUAGUAUAUAGAAGGUGGUAAAGGGGGUAUUGAACACAGAAGCAUGUGAAAUAAAAAUCGCAAAAACGUAGCAGG